ACACCCACGAGGAGGAUUUCUGCUUGCUUGGGGUCAAGUAAUGGACUGCUGAUCAUCUACUGAAAUUGGAGAAUCUAGAAUGGAUGAUAGGUGACCUUAAUUCAGUUUUCUUUUAAUCUCUCAAAAAAGAAAAGUUUUCUUUUAACGGGCAGAGACAGCUUUCUUUAUGCGAUAUUAGAUUUAUUUUCAAUUGAAUCGCUGGUAACCACACUUUUCGAUACAGAGGGCUGGACAAGGAAGGAGAUGAGAAGAUAGAAAAGGUAAAGGAGAACCACUUUUGAGCAUGAGACCAAGACACGGAAAGGUUCUGAAAACGAAACAAUAAAAGGCCUAAUUCUCUUUUUUCUUCACUUCUCAACCACAGAAAACUCAAAAUGAACAACAGCUGGUUUACUUUCUAGCUAGAUUUCAGGUCUGCAUGGCUGUUAUUAUCGCUAUUUUCACGAGCACUCGACAGCGCCUGAAUUCCGAGCAUCAUCUUUGCCACAACUUGAAGGUUGUCACUUGUUUUUGCCACAACUUGAAGGCUGUCCCUUUGCGCCAUCAUAAAAAGGGACAGAGUGAACAGGAAGGUGGGCAAAUAGCUAGGUUGGGCAAAACUAACCAUAUAUCCAUGCCAUGCAUCAAGUAGGGACUCAAUUUUGGCAGAAGACGCGUUACAUACCUCGUUCGCUGGCAUUGCUUACUCUGGCAAUGGCAUCAAACUCAUCAAUCAAACAAUCAGAAGAACUGAAAUUUUAUAGCAUGAAUAUAGUUUGUGUGGCUCAUGGCUGCCCAGAAAUCUUAUCCACCUCGAAUACGCCAAUGACAUUCAUGCUUUGGAGCCACCUUCGUCUGUCCCUGUUGGCAUAUAUUACCAGCUGGGAAAUUUCCAACCAUAACAAGCUUGAUGCAACCAUCUAUUACAUGGGGUCAGUUCAAUGCAUGGAACAAGGGCUCCACGUUUCAAUUCUAUCAAUGAUCUAACCUCCUGUCGUUUAAAAGACAACUAGAUGUUUUGGCUCCUUCCAUUUGAGCUUGUUCUAAAGAGUGGAGAUCGGUCUUGCCAUGUUUCAUAUAAUCUAGAAAAAGUAGUUGCAUAACUAAAUCAAGCUUGUACAGAUGGGAAUUGAUGUGCUUGAUUUGAUUUGAGCUUAAUAUAUUUCUCGCAACUCUCUUUUCCAAUGGAAAGUUCAAAUUGAAUAACUUUUUUUUCCA